AGUAAUGUAUUCAACGAGUUUAUAGCCUUGGCCGACAGGCCCAAGUAAUCUUUGAAAUUUCAUCGUGAUGGGGAUAGAUCAUUGCAAUUCUUGCUCUUCAAU
rnacentral:ncRNA from 1 species